AACCUGUCGUCGGGACGGGGACAACGCCGGGAAACUGGCGAUAAUCCCCGAUAGGUGGGGGACGCUGGAAUGCCUCCUCGCCUAAAGCUCCGGCGCCCGAGGAUGGGACUGCGGCCUAUCAGGCUGUUGGUGAGGUAAAGGCUCACCAAAGCGGUAAUCUGUACGGGCAAUGGGAGUUGGAGCCCGGAGAAGGGGACUGAGACAAGGCCCCUAGCCCUACGGGGUGCAGCAGGCGCGAAACCUCCGCAAUGCGGGAAACCGUGACGGGGGGACUCUGAGUGACUCUGUUCAAAAACAGAGUCUUUUGUCAAGCGCUAAAAACUUGGCGAAUAAGGACUGGGCAAGACUCGUGCCAGCCGCCGCGGUAACACGAGCAGUCCAAGUGGUGUCCACGAUUACUGGGCUUAAAGCGCUCGUAGCCGGUUCAAAAAGUCUUUUGUGAAAGCCCAAGGCUUAACCUUGGGAGGUGCAAAGGAAACUCUUGGACUUGGAGGCGGGAGAGGCCAGAGGUACUUUUUGGGUAGCGGUAAAAUGCUGUAAUCCUAAAAGGACCG
rnacentral:rRNA from 1 species